UACGUAGGGACCAAGCGUUGUUCGGAAUUACUGGGCGUAAAGGGCGCGUAGGCGGCGGGGUCAGUCGGGUGUGAAAUCUUGGGGCUUAACCCCGAAACGGCACUCGAAACUGCCCGGCUGGAGGGCCGGAGAGGAGAUCGGAAUUCACGGUGUAGCAGUGAAAUGCGUAGAGAUCGUGAGGAAGACCCGGGGCGAAGGCGGAUCUCUGGACGGCUAACUGACGCUGAGGCGCGAAGGCCAGGGGAGCAAACGGG
rnacentral:rRNA from 1 species